CCUUGCUUCGUCUCUCCCCCGGCCUUCCCUGGGCUUCCUUCACUUCCCUCCUCCUGCACAUUCCUGCUCAUCCUGUCCUGGAAAGUCCAGCUGAGUGUGUCUGGCUUCCCAGCCCAUAUUUCUCAGCACGGCACUCCAGGCCCCCAGGCUCCAGGGUGGCUGCUCUGACCGUUUCCCUUCUCCUCCUUCCCCAGCAGACACUCGCUGCGCCUCAGUGGUUCCACCUCCAGACCGUUGCUCCAGCAGCGUCCUGGCUUGGGGUUCAUCUCAAGGCUGGAAACCGUCCCGCUGCAGACCCUGCGCUGCUACAGUGACUAUACCAGCCACAUCACCUGCAGGUGGGCAGACAC
rnacentral:lncRNA from 1 species